CUUGACUCUGGCGUCACAAACACAGCUUCUUGGAAUCUCAUGCCUGUUACUGGCUGUGUGAUCUGGAGCAACUGGCUUCACCUCUCUGAGCCUUUAUUUCCCACAUCUGCAAAGUGGUGCACAGUAAUACCCACGUUCCUGGCUCUGUGUAAGGAGCCAUGAGAGUGUAUUUAAAGGGCCCAGCACCCAGCUGCUCUCAGUAGAUGCUCAAGAGACAGUAACAACCCUAUCGUUAUAUGAGGUUCAAUGCAACUCAUCUGAUUCCCCUUCCAGUGGCUGGAGAACAUCCCACCUUCUGAGCCUUGGGGAGAAGCAGAGUGUGCCCUUUCCCUGCCCACUGGAGAAGCUGAAACAACAAAAACUCCCUUCCCUGGCCUCCCUGCAGGAGACUCCAGGAAGACUCCUGAAUGCCACACACUCCUAAACCUGAGAGACCUUCAUGCAGAUUGGGGAGCAGCUUUAGGACUGCUGGGUGGAGCCACAAUGAGACAGAUAAGCUCCAGGAAAAUAAGAAGUGCCGAAACAAUGGAGCCACCCAACAAAAAGGGCUGCCACUGCAAGUGGUGAGCUUCCUGUUACUGGAGUAAGUCAAAGAUGGUGUCGAAAAUGGUGAAAUCAAGAACUAGUGCUUAGAAUUAUGGAGAUUUAAAAACAGAAGAGACACCUCCCAGAGUUGCAAGUGGUCGCCUGUCCCAGAGAGCUGGUGAGAUGAGGUGGGGAGGUGGCAGCUGAGUUUUAUGGUGAGAAAGUGGAGUUCGAAGAUGUCAUCAGCCCAGGUCACACAGAUGGUGGAGACCAGUGUGGAGCCCGGGAGUGGGCUGAGCAGAGCAUCUGGACUUUGAGCUUCCAUCAGACCCUGAGAUAGUCACCUGUCCUGGCUGCCUGGUGACCCUGGUGUGCUAACGUGGCACUUAUCUUGCUCUAUGGAGGCCCCUGGGCCCCCUAAACACCAGAACCCAGUUGCUGUGCUAAAAAGAACUCACAGACCACGUGGAGUGGAGCAGAUGGGUCAGUGUCCCAGGUGGCAGCCCGUGUCGGCCUCAGACCUGCACGUGAGGAUGCCCACCAGAGGGUUCCUGCCACCACCGUCAAGUCACCCCAGCCUUAAUCUUCCAGCCGGCGCCUCAGGCAUUAUGGGCAGAGGUAAACUGUCUCCAUGAUGCCCUUUCCAAAUUUCUGACCCACAGAAUCCAUGGCUAUAAUAAAAUGGCUGUCUUAUGUGCUCAA
rnacentral:lncRNA from 1 species